rnacentral:rRNA from 1 species
UACGGAGGGUGCAAGCGUUAUCCGGAUUCACUGGGUUUAAAGGGUGUGUAGGCGGAUUUUUAAGUCAGUGGUGAAAUCUCCGGGCUCAACCCGGAAACUGCCAUUGAUACUAUUAGUCUUGAAUUCUGUUGAGGUGGGCGGAAUACAUCAUGUAGCGGUGAAAUGCUUAGAUAUGAUGUAGAACACCGAUUGCGAAGGCAGCUCACUAAGCAGAACAUUGACGCUGAGGCACGAAAGCGUGGGGAUCAAACAGG